GUGCUUGCUUCAGCAGCACAUAUACUAAAAUCGGAACACUACAGAGAUUAGCAUGGUCCCUGUGCAAGGAUGCCACUCAAAUUAGUGAAGCAUUGCAAAUGCUU
ensembl:snRNA U6 U6 spliceosomal RNA